rnacentral:ncRNA from 1 species
ACUCCUAGACACGUUUCAUUUGCAAAAUAUCAACUCUUAAAUUAAGAGUGGCUUUCUAUUUUACUAGAAGUUUGAAUCUGGCUUAUGUUUAGCUUAAGAUUAAGCUUAUAUGCAAUAUAACAACUCUUAAAGAGAUUAAGCAGUAGAAAGUAUUAUUUAUUAAUGAAUAGACAUAGUCUAAUCUUUUAGAAUUGGUCAACGUCGUGCCAGCUACCGCGGUUAAACGAAGAAUUCAAGUUAAACUACUAAUGUAAUUUAAAAUGAUGGUUGAUGCUGGAGAUGGUUAUUUGAUUUGGUUAGAAAAGUGAAAUUUGAAUAUUUUAAUUAUGUAACCACUCUUGGAUUAAAAAGAUUUGCUAAACUUAGACACAAAACUAGGAUUAGAUACCCUACUAUUCUAAGUCAAACUUUGUUUGGGUAGUAAAAGAAGUUCUUCAAACCCACAGAUCUUGGCGGUAUUUUAUCUUAACAGAGGAGCUUGCCCAGUAAAUGAUAAGCCUCGUUAAAUCUUACUUUAUUUUGUCAAGUUUGUGUACUGCCGUUGUCAGAUUACUUUUGAAGAUAGUGAUCUUAAUAAAUUGUUUUACGACUUCAGGUCAAAGUGCAGCAAAUAAUAAAGUUAUGAGGUGAGCUACAAUAAAUUUAAGAGAACUUAAACGGAUUAAAUUUGGAAAGAUUAUGAAGGUGGAUUUGUUAGUAAGGUUAGCUGAUGAUUCUAAUCUGAAGUAUGCUCUAAAAUAUGCACACAUCGCCCGUCGCCCUCUUUCUAAAAAGAGGUAAGUCGUAACAAAGUAGAAGUAUUGGAAGAUGUUUCUAGAAUGUA